CGAGGAGUUUAUUCUUUUUUUAUGUUGACUUGGUUCAGCUUGGUUGAUGUUGGUCUUCCUUGUUUGAGGUAUAUUGUUGUUGAUGUUGGAAAACAAGGAAGAGAAAGGUGUAAUGGAAAACAAAAAGGGGGGGUUUAGACUGCAGGUGGCCGUGAUGUUGAAGGGUUUAAUUGGGAUUACCCCUAAUUCCUUUUUUAAUCCAACCCUAAUUAUAUUCAUUUACACCUCAUCAUUAUAUUUUUUUUUAAAACAAAUUACAAUGCCACAUCAUCAAACAUUACACACCUGGCAGUUCUGCCGUUAGUGAACUUAACAUCGUUACCAAAAAGGACCAACUUGAACAGUUUUUGCGAAAGGUAGGACUAAAG
rnacentral:lncRNA from 1 species